CGAGUCUCUAUGAUCACUACUUUAACGUUAACAGGUCCUAAUUUAACGUAGAAAUGUUGUGGUGGGCUUUACGCCUAUCUCCGAGUGAUAUCCAGGAGAAAUUUGAACUGCCAAAUAAGUGACAAGUGGCGCCUGACCAUCUUUCCAAGUUUCUUGUAAUCGACAUCUACAUCUAUACUCCACAAUACAGCUUUCAGUGUGUGACGGAUGAAUGUACAUGAUGUUUGCUGUAGAAGAUAAAUUGGCUAUUGUGACAUGUGGACUACAGAGGUCGUCAUACGGCAACAUUCUUAAGAGAUUUCACUGCGAAUUCCAUCAUGAUGUUCCCACUGAUAAAACAAUCCACACAUUAUAAAAAAGUUCAGGUGCUCUGGACUGCUGACAAGGAACCCAGAUAAGGAUGUCUCUCAGCCUCCAAUGAAAGCGUAGAAGCUAGCAGGACAUCCACUGAAAGGAGUCCAAAAUCGGUGCGGUGUCUGUCAGUGGAAGUGAACAUUCCAUGUUCGACGGUACAUAAGGUGUUGCGGAUUAUCCUAAAGAAGAAAUAAUACCACCUGCAGGUUGUCCACCAUCUGCAUGAAGAGAUUUUGCAGAGUGUGUAGCCAUGGGCAUCGAAGAGCGAAACAUCUGAAUCACAUCUUAUUCAGUGAUGAAGCGAUCUUCCACAUUUGUGAAAAUGUUAAUAGGUAUAACUGCGUUAUCUCGGCUAACACACCACCAAUGGGACAUGAUGAAGUCAUGUGAGAGUCUUCCAAGGUUAAUUUUUGGAUGGACAUCACAUGUACAAGGUUUAUGGACCAUUUUUUCUUGCUGAAAUAGCCAUAAAUGAAGCCAUGCACCGAGACAUAUUCACAAAAAACAGUUUAUCCAGAAUGGGCAUCAGGAUACUGUUUACUUUCAGCAAGAUAGGGCACUAUAUCAUUAUGGCUUAGAUGUUUGCAUGUACCUGAAUUCACAGUUCGCUGGGAGAUGGGUUGGACAUGCAGGCCCCUUACUGUGUGUUGCACAUUUCCCUGACCACACGCACAUGGACUUUCUGUGUGGGGAUGUAUCGAAAUAUGUGUGUUUACCCAACACAUUACCUCAUUGCAGGAGCUCAGGAACCACAUUACACAACCUGCUGGUGCCAUAAUACUUCAGAAUGUGCUUCAUGUCACUGAUGAAACAUGGGAAAUGUGUAAUAAUAUUAAAAGUAAUCACUAAUGAACCGAUACCAUAGCAAACAUUGUACGGAAAAACUCUACAGAACCCGAUACAAGACAGAGAGAGAACUCCAAUCUGUAACUAAGAGCUGGAAUUAUGUAGCCCAGUGACGAGCCGUGAAGUGACCCACAUGUAAGUGUUGAUUAGAAGUUAUCCGAACCCAUUGUAUUAAUCGGAGACAGUUAUCAGAACCCCAACGUGUUGUCAGAGAAAUGUUUGGUAAAAAGAUGACCCCCAUAUCGAAAUGAAUGUAUAUUCUCUGAUGGUUAAGGAAAGGACACCCUACGCAGUGCCUAAAUUGUAUUUUAGUAAAUUUUUGAAUGUUGUUAAAGCGACUUCAUAAAACUACUAUUUUUGC